GACUCUGUCUCAAAAAACAAAACAAAACAAAACAAAACAAAAUAAAAAUAAAACCCAAGACCCUAGCAAGGCAGAGACACACAAGCAGCUGGAUGUUGUAAGGAAUACAUCGGUGGAAGAAGACAUAAGUGGCUGGUUGUCAAGAGCAUGCCGAAGGAAGAGCACACUGACAGGCACCAGCAGGCCAGCACACCAGUAGGCCAACAACUGGCAGAACGACAUGGAGUUUGGCCGAGGCAGCUGGAAGAGAGCCCAGGCUGCCGAGUGGCCCGACUCCAGGGGAAAACAGUCUCCCUCUGGCUCCCUCGUCUGCUGAGAGCUACUUCCAGUCAAUAAAACCUUGCACUCAUUCUCCAAGCCCACAUGUGAUCUGAUUCUUCCAGUACACCAAGGCAAGAAACCUUGGGGUACAGAAAGCCCUCUGCCCUUGUGACAAGGUAGAGGGUCUAAUUGAGCUGACCAACACAAGCCACCUAUAGAUGGCAGGCUAAAAGAGCACCCUGUAACACACGCCCACUGGGGCUUCAGGGGCCAUAAACAUUCAUUCCUAGACAUUGGCAUGGGGUCAGAGCCCACAGCCUGCCCGUCUGUAUGCUCCCCUAGAGGUUUGAGCAGCUGGGCACUGAAGAAGUGAGUCACACCCCCAUCACACUCCCUGCAAGGGGAGCAAGGGAACCUUUCCCAUUUCAACUGGGGGCUCGCCCGGGAUCCUGGAAGGUGAGUGUAAACAAAUGUGAAACUGUCGGGUCUGCGUCUCUUCCAAAAGCUUGCCAUCUUUCUCUUUCCUGCAGAAACCCUCAAACUCCAAACCGUCAGGCAACCGGAGCCUCAAACGAUGGCUCCCCUUUGCUAGGAACCCUUAGAUAGACCUCUGGGAGGAGUCUGACUGCCGUUUUCCCCAAAACAACGCCCCUGUCAACAGGAAACAGCUAAGACCGGUCAUCGUCCAUAUUCUAGUGGCAGUUAGAUGUACCUCUUUAAAGGGGGGAUAUGAUAAGGGAGUGCUGGGAAGGGAAGAGCGUGGUCCCUUUAAAUGAUACAGAAGCAGAGAGGGGAAGAGCUGGGUAGAAGAAGGCGGGUUCCUGGCUAGGGCUUCACCCCCAAGGACCUAGGUGAGGACAGGCACUUCUGCUUUCACGUCCAAAUGUUGCAAUUUCCAAGACCACCCUGGCCCACCACCACCUGGCCCCAUCCUGGGCCUAUAAAAACUGAGACCUUAACAAGGCAGAGACACACAAGCGACUGGACAUUGUGAGGAACACAUAGGUGGAAGAAGACACAAGCGGCUGAUCGUCGAGAGCACGCAGGCAGAAGAGCACAUUGACAGGCACCGGCAUGCCCGCAGGCCAUCAACUGGUGUAAUGACAUGGAGUUUGGCUGGGGCAGUCUGAGGAGAGCCUGGGCUGCCGAGCUGCCCAACUCCAGGGGAAAACAAUUUCCCUCUGGCUCCCCUGUCUGCUGAGAGCUACUUCCACUCAAUAAAACCUUGCACUCAUUCUGCAAGCCCAUGUGUGAUCUGAUUCUUCUAGUACACCAAGGCAAGAAACCCAGGGAUACAGAAAGCCCUCUGUCCUUGAGACAAGGUAGACGGUCUAAUUGAGCUGACUAACACAAGCUGCCUAUGGAUGGCAAACUAAAAGAUCACCCUGUAACACACGCCCACUGGGGCUUCAGAAGUUGUAAACAUUCACCCCUAGACACUGCCAUGGCAUCAGAGCCCCAC
rnacentral:lncRNA from 10 species